rnacentral:lncRNA from 1 species
AGAAAUGCUAUUAUCUCUCUUCUUUGUAUCGUAGUCUUUCUCCGUAUCGCUAUCCUCUCUCUCUCUGUUUUUUCUCUCGAUCUCUUCUAUGUGUCAUCUUUUUUUAUUUUCAUAUUUAUAGUAGAAGGGAAAAUCGGAGAAAUCGGAGCGAUUCGUUGAGUUAGGCGAGAGAAAUUUUGAGGAGUCGGUUAGGGAUUCAAAAUUCGAAAUCGAAUUUUGAAUCGGUUGUUGGAGGGAUAGAUAUUUUCUAGUCAGUUGAGAGUUUAAAAAUUCGAAAUUCGAAUGCAUGUGGUUGGUUAGGAGAUAUUUCGGAAGUUGGUUGAAGAUUUGAAAUUGAAUUUUGAAUGGGAAAGGAUUUGUAAUGAGAUUGUUGGGAUAAGAGAUAUUUUCUAAUUGAAUAUUGAAUUUUAGGAUGUCGAUAUGGGCUGUCAUUUAUUAGGCCCGCUUUGAUGAAAUUUGUUGGGCACAAAUAAUAAUAUUUGUUGGGCUGAAAUGAGGUCCGAAUUAUUGCAUAGGCUUAAAAUUCAACG